GCUCAGUCUCUGGAUAUAGACCCGAAACCGGGUGAUCUAGCCAUGGGCAGGUUGAAGGUUGAGUAACAUCAACUGGAGGACCGAACCGACUAAUGUUGAAAAAUUAGCGGAUGACUUGUGGCUAGGGGUGAAAGGCCAAUCAAACUCGGAGAUAGCUGGUUCUCCCCGAAAGCUAUUUAGGUAGCGCCUCGGACGAAUACUACUGGGGGUAGAGCACUGUUAAGGCUAGGGGGUCAUCCCGACUUACCAACCCUUUGCAAACUCCGAAUACCAGUAAGUACUAUCCGGGAGACACACGGCGGGUGCUAACGUCCGUCGUGGAGAGGGAAACAACCCAGACCGCCAGCUAAGGUCCCAAAGUAUUGCUAAGUGGGAAACGAUGUGGGAAGGCUCAGACAGCUAGGAUGUUGGCUUAGAAGCAGCCAUCAUUUAAAGAAAGCGUAAUAGCUCACUAGUCGAGUCGGCCUGCGCGGAAGAUGUAACGGGGCUAAGCAAUACACCGAAGCUGCGGCAAUGUCUUUUAGACAUUGGGUAGGGGAGCGUUCUGUAAGCCGUUGAAGGUGAAUCGUAAGGUUUGCUGGAGGUAUCAGAAGUGCGAAUGCUGACAUGAGUAACGACAAAGGGGGUGAAAAACCUCCUCGCCGGAAGACCAAGGGUUCCUGUCCAACGUUAAUCGGGGCAGGGUGAGUCGACCCCUAAGGUGAGGCCGAAAGGCGUAAUCGAUGGGAAACGGGUUAAUAUUCCCGUACUUCUGACUAUUGCGAUGGGGGGACGGAGAAGGCUAGGUGGGCCAGGCGACGGUUGUCCUGGUUCAAGUGCGUAGGCUUGAGAGUUAGGUAAAUCCGGCUCUCUCUAAGGCUGAGACACGACGUCGAGCUACUACGGUAGUGAAGUCAUUGAUGCCAUGCUUCCAGGAAAAGCCUCUAAGCUUCAGAUAGUCAGGAAUCGUACCCCAAACCGACACAGGUGGUCGGGUAGAGAAUACCAAGGCGCUUGAGAGAACUCGGGUGAAGGAACUAGGCAAAAUGGUACCGUAACUUCGGGAGAAGGUACGCUCUUGAUGGUGAAGUCCCUCGCGGAUGGAGCUGACGAGAGUCGCAGAUACCAGGUGGCUGCAACUGUUUAUUAAAAACACAGCACUGUGCAAAAUCGCAAGAUGACGUAUACGGUGUGACGCCUGCCCGGUGCCGGAAGGUUAAUUGAUGGGGUUAGCGCAAGCGAAGCUCUUGAUCGAAGCCCCGGUAAACGGCGGCCGUAACUAUAACGGUCCUAAGGUAGCGAAAUUCCUUGUCGGGUAAGUUCCGACCUGCACGAAUGGCGUAAUGAUGGCCACGCUGUCUCCACCCGAGACUCAGUGAAAUUGAAAUCGCUGUGAAGAUGCAGUGUACCCGCGGCUAGACGGAAAGACCCCGUGAACCUUUACUACAGCUUGGCACUGAACAUUGAACCUACAUGUGUAGGAUAGGUGGGAGGCUAUGAAGACGUGACGCCAGUUGCGUUGGAGCCGUCCUUGAAAUACCACCCUUGUAUGUUUGAUGUUCUAACUUAGACCCAUUAUC
rnacentral:rRNA from 1 species